UCAGUCUCUUUGUGCUUAUUCUUUCCUGAUCUUAAUGAAUGAGUAUUAGAAAUGGAAGUGCCCAAGAAACCUUGUGAGUUUGAGAUCCAUAGAUUCUACUGACAACCAGAAAUGGACCCAGAACUAUAUCACUUCUCUUGCAGUCUCUUGAAUGGGCAGCUGAAUGACAGGAUGAGGGGGUGCAACAAGGAUGUGGAAAGGCCACUUUUGGAGAGUUAUGCUUCUUUCUGCACACCACAUUUUCAGGAGGACUUUCAUUGAUAAGAACUUUCACAAACUGUCAAGCCUGUCAAGAGGACAACAAGAUGACAAGAGGACUAGAAAAAAAUGCCACAUGAAGAUAUGUUGAAGGAAAUCCAGAUAUUUGGCCUGGAGAAGAGAAAACAUUAUGGGGGAUGUGAUAGUUGUCUUUAAUGAAGUAUGUGAGUAGAAGAAGAAGAAAUUUAGACAUAUUCUUCUUGGUCUAGAACAGGUUGGGA